GCCGGCGCCUACACGAACGGAGCGAAUUCCUCCAACAGGUCGCAACCAAAGAGCAGACGAAAAUAUCUCCAGACUCGUACAAUAACUUCUGAUAUGGGCCAGCAAGAAGUAACAUUAACCGCUACAUCCCUAGCUGUGGCCCUAGGUGUGACCUUGACCCUAGGAUUUGUGUGUGGAUACCAGUUCAAGGCGUGGAGGAUCGAGUGGCUGAAGAGAAGGAGAGAGAGACUGCAGAGGAAGAUCCAGCAGACGCAGGCGGAGAUUGACAUGCUGCAGAAGGGGCACUAAGGGGUCCUGCCUCAUACUGUCUGAUGCCAUCCAUCAUGUAAAUAGCUUUGUUGAUUCUGUAUCAGGAAGUAGGAAGAAAUUGACUUAGAAAUUAAUUUAACAAAACUGAAUAACUGUGCCGCAUUUCUAACCCGACUCAGGGCUUUGGUGAAGAAUAUUUUAUAGGUGAAAGCAUAUCCAUUUAAAUAGUAUUUUGGGAAUACAUAAUAAAAUACCGCACAAAAAAAAGAAUGAUCAUUGGUAGUCAGUGGGAAGAGGAUUUGCAGUCCGGAUACUCAAGAGGUUGUGCAAUAUUAUGAGAGCUGGAGCACUGGCCUUUCAAUACUGGAACUGUGAGGUAAUGUCUGGGAACAUUUGGAAAACCUAGAGGAUGUAGCCAUAAAGAAUCAAGGAUCAUUAACCGAUGGUGCUAUUAUGGUGUCUUUGAAGUGUUGUUCUGUGUUUUAUAUCUUAAGAACAGGUUUCAGUCUAUACUAAAGAACAGGAUGGAGGAGCCAACCCAAGGGAUAAAUUGAUAAGCAAUUAUGGUUCCAAAUUAGUUGACAAUAUUUAUGUACAUGAAGAAUAAAACUUUGUAUGGCAUUUUAUAUUUCUUUGUAUAUGAAGGAUUCUAUAAGAUAAAGAAAAGAUAUGAGUAAAUUCA